rnacentral:rRNA from 1 species
GCCAGCAGCCACAUCACUCUGCAGCUCACAACUGGCAGCCCACUGAAGUUAAGCAGGUGUUAACCUGGUCAGUACCUGGAUGGGAGGCCUCCUGGGAAAAACUAAGGUGGCUGCUGGAA